ACAUCAUCUGGUUGAAGAGUUGGGACUUGGAGUCCAAGCAUAAAGUCGUUGCUUGGUACCUACAAUAUUAAUUCACAAUGGACACUUCCUGAAUUAUAGAUUCACAUAGGCGGGCAGUAACCCUACAGCAUCAGGAUUAAGAGUUGGAUUCAGAAUUUUUUAUGGGACCACCACAGAAACUUCUAAAUGUCGAUUAAAAAAAUAUUUUGUAAAUCGGUCCAGGAACCUCGAAAAAAUCGGUGCACA